GAUGAACGCUGGCGGCGUGCCUAAUACAUGCAAGUCGAGCGAACAGAUAAGGAGCUUGCUCCUUUGACGUUAGCGGCGGACGGGUGAGUAACACGUGGGUAACCUACCUAUAAGACUGGAAUAACUCCGGGAAACCGGGGCUAAUGCAGGAUAACAUGUUGAACCGCAUGGUUCUACAGUGAAAGGCGGCUUUGCUGUCACUUAUAGAUGGACCCGCGCCGUAUUAGCUAGUUGGUGAGGUAACGGCUCACCAAGGCAACGAUACGUAGCCGACCUGAGAGGGGGAUCGGCCACACGGGAACUGAGACACGGUCCAGACUCCUACGGGAGGCAGCAGUAGGGAAUCUUCCGCAAUGGGCGAAAGCCUGACGGAGCAACGCCGCGUGAGUGAUGAAGGUCUUCGGAUCGUAAAACUCUGUUAUUAGGGAAGAACAAAUGCGUAAGUAACUGUGCGCGUCUUGACGGUACCUAAUCAGAAAGCCACGGCUAACUACGUG
rnacentral:rRNA from 1 species